rnacentral:rRNA from 1 species
UACAGAGGUCUCAAGCGUUGUUCGGAUUCAUUGGGCGUAAAGGGUGCGUAGGCGGCGCGGUAAGUCGGGUGUGAAAUUUCGGAGCUUAACUCCCGAAACUGCAUUUGAUACUGGCGUGCUUGAGGACUGGAGAGGAGACUGGAAUUCAUGGUGUAGCAGUGAAAUGCGUAGAGAUCAUGAGGAAGACCAGUGGCGAAGGCGGGUCUCUGGACAGUUCCUGACACUGAGACACGAAGGCCAGGGGAGCAAACGGG